rnacentral:rRNA from 1 species
GACGAACGCUGGCGGCGUGCUUAACACAUGCAAGUCGAACGCUGAAGCCCUUUCGGGGGUGGAUGAGUGGCGAACGGGUGAGUAACACGUGGGUAAUCUGCCCUGUACUUCGGGAUAAGCCUUGGAAACGGGGUCUAAUACCGGAUAGGACCUGUCCUCGCAUGGGGGUGGGUGGAAAGUUCCGGCGGUAUGGGAUGAGCCCGCGGCCUAUCAGCUUGUUGGUGAGGUAGGGGCCUACCAAGGCGACGACGGGUAGCUGGCCUGAGAGGGUGACCGGUCACACUGGGACUGAGACACGGCCCAGACUCCUACGGGAGGCAGCAGUGGGGAAUCUUGCGCAAUGGGCGAAAGCCUGACGCAGCAACGCCGCGUGGGGGAUGACGGCCUUCGGGUUGUAAACCUCUUUCGACAUCGACGAAGGGGCCCUGUUGUGGGGUUUUGACGGUAGGUGUAGAAGAAGCACCGGCUAACUACGUGCCAGCAGCCGCCGUAA